UUUGGUGAUUAUAUCGAGGAGGAAACACCUGUUCCCAUUCCGAACACAGAAGUUAAGCUCCUCAGAGCCGAUGAUAGUUGACGCGAAAGUAGGACGUUGCCAAAC
rnacentral:rRNA from 1 species